rnacentral:lncRNA from 1 species
GUAUUUGUUUCUCCUCUGGAAUCCUGAGCUUUUAAUGGGCAUGCAGCCAGCUUCAGGCGCUUUGCUACCAGGGUGUGUUUGUAUAGGAACUCAUACCACAGCCAGCCUCAGCCUGGGGACCUGGAUUGCCAGGGCUGCUCCACCUUGCUGUCUUUGUUUGCUGUAACACCACAUGCAAUCCUAUGCUUAAAAAACAAAGGGAAGGUGGUUCACAAAAAAGUGACAUUUGGAAACCCAGCCCUUGCAGGGCCUUUGUUUUGAGUGACACGACCAGUUGAAUCAGCAUAAUUAAGGGGAGCAGGAAGUGGGGACGGGACUGAGUGAAAGUGGGAAGGGGAGCUGGCGUCAGACUGGAGCAUGGAGACAGUGACUGCCAGCCUGGUGUGGCCUCGCCCCUCACCUGGUGACUGCUCCUGUCCUCUGUUUACCUGCAGUGCUUUGUUCAUGGAGUGGACAAAGACCUGGGUCACAAAUGAGCGCCUGCUUUUCAGCUGAGCCUUAGUUUCCACCUUCACCACAUCAGUCGUGGGAGCUGACCUUAUUAACUGUGAUUCUACCAGCUUGUGGGUCACCUGCAAACUCUUAUGGUUAAUGGAGAUGCCAAGUGACCUUCAUGUGGCACGUCUUGCUGCUCACCCUGGAAGUUAGCUUACAUCGUGACAACCCGGCUCUUGGGAGUUCCAGCUUCCUGGAGCACAUGGAGCACAUGGAGAGGGCGGUCACAGAACAAGGGCUUCACGUGAGGGCUUGAGACUGCUCUCCAUGUACAGCGUGGAUGUUUUCUCUCCUUUGGAGCUGUUUGGAAAUCUGCUAAUCAAAGUGUUAUUUGUGAAUAGCACUUACUAUGUAGGAAUGUUGCAAAGAUUAAUGAAUUAGCUUUUUGAAAGUUGGGAAAAGUGCUAGAGAAGUGUUCCUAAGUAUUAUCAAGUAUUGCACAACAACAAUUCCCAACCUUUUUUUUUUUCUUCUUAAAUUUAUUUGCUGUUUUGUCUUCCCAUUGCGCAUUGUACACAAUUCAAUGGGCAAUAAUAGUCCUGUAUAUCACUUGCCAAAUUAUUUUCCCUGGAAAUGUGUGAAGUAAUUUCUAAAGCCAAUGACUGUUUUGUAAUUGUAUAAAUGUAGGUAUAUAAACACAUUUACAAAAGAAUAUGUG